CACCUUCCUUUUCUCCUUUUCUCCUUUUCGUCCUCGUACAGGCACCAAAUAAAUACCAGAUCAAAACCUGCAUUUCUACCAAAAAUUCUUCGCAUUCUAACGAGAAAAUUUUCUGCUGAAAGCUCGGUACAAUUCCUUAAGCGCAAGGUACUGUGCUUCUGGGAGAUGUGAUCCAAAUUAAUCGUUUUGUAGAGUCAGAGACUUGAAAAUGGCUUCUAGAGCAAUAUUGAGGCGGCAGAAGAUUUUCUCUGACUAUUUGAAUGUUUUGGCUCGAUCUAUUCUAAGUUUUCAACACUUGGGUCACAGCCAAUCUACUCCUACUUUGGAGUCUUGUAGUUUUAGCUCUCUAGCAAGUAGUUGUUCUCAGUUUUCAGAUUGUUCAAGGGAUCAUAAUGAAGUUAAAGUCAGUAAUGAGGAAUUAUUAAAAUUCACAGCAUCAGGGAAGCUUUGGCGUAGAAGUAAUGGAAUCUUGCUGUCUGGUUAUGGAAAUAGAAAUUUGGAGCUUAUUUCGCCUACGGGAGUGAGGUUGAUGUCACAUUCAAUACGUUAUGCUUCUACAGCUACUGCAAAGCAACCUAAUUUGGGUAGUGAUGAUGAAGAGGAUGAGGAAAGGGUUUCAAAAAAGAGAAAAGAAGCUUCACCAGAGGAAUGCGAUGAAGCUGUAGUUGGUUUGAGUACGGCAAAGGCUAAAGCGAAAUCAAAGCGGUUGCAUGAAUCUCAGAAAGUUGCUAAGUCUGUUCUACAAAGAGUUUGGGCCACAUUUUUGGGAAUUGGCCCGGCUAUGAGAGCUGUGGCUUCAAUGAGCAGGGAGGACUGGGCUCAGAAACUUGUUCACUGGAAAAAUGAGUUCAAAUCAACACUGCAGCAUUACUGGUUGGGCACUAAGCUCCUUUGGGCCGAUGUGAGGAUCAGUUCAAGAUUGUUGUUGAAACUUGCAGGUGGGAAGAAUCUCUCUAGGAGGGAGAGGCAGCAACUUACACGGACCACUGCUGAUAUUUUUAGACUUGUUCCUUUUGCUGUUUUUAUUAUUGUGCCAUUCAUGGAAUUCUUGCUACCUGUAUUCCUGAAGCUAUUCCCAAAUAUGUUACCAUCAACAUUUCAAGACAAGAUGAAAGAAGAGGAAAAAUUGGUAAGAAGGCUCAAUGCGAGAAUAGAAUAUGCAAAAUUUCUUCAGGAUACUGCCAAAGAAAUGGCGAAGGAAGUUCAGAACUCACGUAGUGGAGAAACAAGAAAGACAGCAGCAGAUCUUGAUGAAUUUCUAAACAGGGUCAGAACAGGAACUGGUGUCUCUAAUGAGGAAAUCUUGGGUUUUGCUAAGUUGUUCAAUGAUGAACUCACGUUAGACAAUAUAAGCAGGCCUCGGCUAGUGAAUAUGUGCAAGUAUAUGGGAAUCAGUCCUUUUGGGACAGAUGCUUAUCUGCGUUUUAUGCUUCGGAAGAGACUGAAAAGCAUAAAGAAUGAUGAUAAAUUGAUUCAAGCGGAAGGUGUGGAGUCUCUAUCAGAGGCUGAACUCCGUGAGGACUGUAGAGAGCGUGGCAUGCUAGGACUGCUUUCAGUGGAGGAAAUGCGCCAACAGCUUCGUGACUGGUUAGAUUUGUCACUCAAUCACUCUGUGCCAUCUUCACUUUUGAUCCUUUCAAGAGCUUUUACUGUUUCUGGGAAGGUGAAGCCUGAGGAAGCAGUACGGGCUACAUUGUCUUCACUCCCUGAUGAAGUUGUGGAUACUGUGGGCACAGAAGACUCCGUUUCUGACAGGAGAAGAAAAUUAGAGUUCCUGGAGAUGGAAGAGGAGCUCAUCAAGGAGGAGGAAGAAAAAGAGGAAGAAGAGCUAGCCAGAAAGAAGGAAAGUGUUGGUAGUCGAGAGGAUGUGGCUUUGAAAGAGAUGACUAUUCCAACAGCUAGGGAAGCACAAGAACGAGCUAGAGCAAGAGCAUUAGACAAGCGAGACCAGCUUUGCGAAAUUAGUCGUGCAUUGGCUGUUUUAGCUGCUGCUUCUUCUGUGAGCAGAGAGCGUGAAGCAUUUCUGAGGCUUGUCAAUAAAGAGAUCGAACUUUACAACAGCAUGGUAGAUAAAGAAGGCACAGAGGCUGAAGCAGAAGCAAUGAAGGCAUAUAGAGCUGCUCGUGUUGAAACUGAAGAUGCUAAUGAAGCUGAUACAGACGAGGUUUCAUCUGCACUAAUUGACAAGGUUGAUGCCAUGCUACAGAACCUUGAGAAAGAAAUUGAUGAUGUGGAUGCACAGAUUGGUGAUCAUUGGCGAGUGCUUGACAGAGAUCAUGAUGGGAAAGUUACUCCGGAGGAGGUGGCAGCUGCAGCGAUGUACUUGAAAGAUACUUUAGGCAAAGAAGGGGUUCAAGAACUCAUUAGCAACCUUUCAAAAGAUAGAGAUGGAAAGAUUCUUGUCGAAGAUAUAGUGAAGUUGGGCGGUCGAGCUGAGGAGGAUAAUACAGCUGAAUCUGAAGGACUGUAGGGGAUAACUCCGCCAGUUUCUACUAAUGUGAAUAUGCUAAUACUUCAGGUUUUGUGACCCUGUUAACACAGUAAUGGAAAGCUUAACUUCUGCUGCUGAGCCUCUCUUCUUGAAUCUUUUGCAAUGACUAUCGCCCGCUGGUGACUCGUAUCUCUACAUGGGAGUUAAUACUUCCCAAGCCACAGUCGGGAACACUUCCCAAGCACUAAUCUAACUGAUGUGCUUCUGGGAGAUGUGAUCCAAUUAAUCGUUUUGUGGCGUCAGAGACUUGAAAAUGGCUUCUAGAGCAAUAUUGAGGCGGCAGAAGAUUUUCUCUGACUAUUUGAAUGUUUGGGCUCGAUCUAUUCUAAGUUUUCAACACUUGGGUCACAGCCAAUCUGCUCCUAAUUUGGAGUCUCGUAGUUUUAGCUCUCUAGCAACUAGUUGUUCUCAGUUUUCAGAUUGCUCAGGGGAUCAUAAUGAAGUUAAAGAAAUCUGCUGUCUGGCUAUGGAAAUAGAAAUUUGGAGCUUAUUUCUCCUAUUCAAUACGUUAUGCUUCUACAGUUGUGUACUUUCAUGAAAUUGAGUUUUUCAAUGCAGUUGUGUGACAUAUUUUACGUAGUCUAUUGUACAAUAAAAUUACUUUGUUGUACGCAUAAUUUCAGUCUUCAGCCAUAGUCAAUGGCAGUAGUACUUUUUGGUCCCAUUUCACUUCUUUAGAAGCAAGUUUGGACAGGACAGAUGAUGGGUUUUCAAGAAACCUGAACUUCUCUUGCAU